CGCAGCGUAGCUUAAUGGUAAAGCCCCUGGCUCAUAACCAGGUUGUUACGGGUGCAAAUCCCGUCGCUGCCU
rnacentral:tRNA from 1 species